rnacentral:rRNA from 1 species
UCYGGUUGAUCCUGCCRGACCCGACUGCUAUCAGAGUAGGACUAAGCCAUGCGAGUCAACGCCGCAAGGCGUGGCAUACGGCUCAGUAACACGUAGUCAACAUGCCCAAAGGACGUGGAUAACCUCGGGAAACUGAGGAUAAACCGCGAUAGGCCAAGGUUUCUGGAAUGAGCCAUGGCCGAAACCUAUAUGGCCUUUGGAUUGGACUGCGGCCGAUCAGGCUGUUGGUGAGGUAAUGGCCCACCAAACCUGUAACCGGUACGGGCUUUGAGAGAAGGAGCCCGGAGAUGGGCACUGAGACAAGGGCCCAGGCCCUAUGGGGCGCAGCAGGCGCGAAACCUCUGCAAUAGGCGAAAGCUUGACAGGGUUACUCUGAGUGAUGCCCGUUAAGGGUAUCUUUUGGCACCUCUAAAAAUGGUGCAGAAUAAGGGGUGGGCAAGUCUGGUGUCAGCCGCCGCGGUAAUACCAGCACCCCGAGUUGUCGGGACGAUUAUUGGGCCUAAAGCAUCCGUAGCCUGUUCUGCAAGUCCUCCGUUAAAUCCACCUGCUUAACGGUUGGGCCGCGGGGGAUACUGCAGAGCUAGGAGGCGGGAGAGGCAAACGGUACUCAGUGGGUAGGGGUAAAAUCCUUUGAUCUACUGAAGACCACCAGUGGCGAAGGCGGUUUGCCAGAACGCGCUCGACGGUGAGGGAUGAAAGCUGGGGGAGCAAACCGGAUUAGAUACCCGGGUAGUCCCAGCUGUAAACGAUGCAGACUCGGUGGAUGGGUUGGCCUCGGGCCAACCCAGUGCCGCAGGGAAGCCGUUAAGUCUGCCGCCUGGGGAGUACGGUCGCAAGACUGAAACUUAAAGGAAUUGGCGGGGGAGCACCACAAGGGGUGAAGCCUGCGGUUCAAUUGGABUCAACGCCGGR